CUACGGGAGGCUGCAGUGGGGAAUAUUGGACAAUGGGGGAAACCCUGAUCCAGCAAUGCCGCGUGUGUGAAGAAGGCCUGCGGGUUGUAAAGCACUUUCGGUUGGGAGGACUGCUUCUAGCACUAAUAUUGUUGGAAGUUGACGUUACCUUCAGAAGAAGCACCGGCUAACUCCGUGCCAGCAGCCGCGGUAAUACGGGGGGUGCAAGCGUUAAUCGGAAUUACUGGGCGUAAAGCGCGCGUAGGCGGCUAGAUCAGUCGGGUGUGAAAGCCCCGGGCUUAACCUGGGAACUGCAUCCGAUACUGUCUAGCUUGAGUACAGGAGAGGAGAGUGGAAUUCCACAUGUAGCGGUGAAAUGCGUAGGUAUGUGGAGGAACACCAAUGGCGAAGGCAGCUCUCUGGCCUGAUACUGACGCUGAGGUGCGAAAGCGUGGGGAGCAAACAGGAUUAGAUACCCCAGUAGUC
rnacentral:rRNA from 1 species